UACGAAGGGGGCUAGCGUUGCUCGGAAUCACUGGGCGUAAAGCGCACGUAGGCGGACUCUUAAGUCGGUGGUGAAAUCCUGGAGCUCAACUCCAGAACUGCCUUCGAUACUGGGAGUCUUGAGUCCGGGAGAGGUGAGUGGAACUGCGAGUGUAGAGGUGAAAUUCGUAGAUAUCUGGAGGAACACCGGUGGCGAAGGCGGCGUCCUGGACCAACACUGACACUGAUGAGCGAAAGCCAGGGGAGCAAACGGG
rnacentral:rRNA from 1 species